CUUCUUCCAUUUUUUCCCCUUAAAAUUUCAUACUUUUAUAAUAAUAUUUAAUCUCAUACAGAGAGAGGAGGCAGCCGGCUGGCCACCCCUCGUUCAUGAUACAACAACAAUUACUGUAUCCCUUACACGUCCACAUGUUAACUUUGUUUCAAAUGCAACACAAGGCAUGUUAUAGGGAGUGGCCAAGCUUCAAGCAAAAGAAAUUUUAAGGGGAAAAAAUGGAAGAAGGGUCUCUUAGGACUUUCAAUUUUCUUGUUCUGAAAUCUUAGUUAAGUAUGUGCACGCCUGUGUAUGACUUAAAGAGUUCUUUCCAGUCAAAAUAUCCAACCACUAAUUGCAGCUCUACCACAAUCUCUAUAUUACCAACAUUAUGAAUUUGAGUACAAGGAAUGGUAUAUCAGAGAUCUUGCAGAGCCUUUCUUGUUAAUGAU
rnacentral:misc_RNA from 1 species